rnacentral:rRNA from 1 species
UACGUAUGGUGCAAGCGUUAUCCGGAUUUACUGGGUGUAAAGGGAGCGUAGGCGGCGCGUUAAGUCUGAUGUGAAAACCCGAGGCUCAACCACGGGAGUGCAUUGGAAACUGGCGGGCUGGAGUGCCGGAGAGGUAAGCGGAAUUCCUAGUGUAGCGGUGAAAUGCGUAGAUAUUAGGAGGAACACCAGUGGCGAAGGCGGCUUACUGGGCGGCAACUGACGCUGAGGCUCGAAAGCGUGGGGAGCAAACAGG